GACGUAGGGCGCGAGCGUUAUCCGGAUUUAUUGGGCGUAAAGAGCUCGUAGGCGGCUUGUUGCGUCGACUGUGAAAACCUGCGGCUCAACCGUGUGGUCUGCAGUCGAUACGGGCAGACUGGAGUACUGCAGGGGAGACUGGAAUUCCUGGUGUAGCGGUGGAAUGCGCAGAUAUCAGGAGGAACACCGGUGGCGAAGGCGGCGUCCUGGACCAACACUGACACUGAGGAGCGAAGGCCAGGGGAGCAAACGGG
rnacentral:rRNA from 1 species